GUGCUCACUUCGACAGCACAUAUGCUAGAACUGGAAUGAUACAGAGAAGAUUAGCGUGGCCCCUGUGCAAGGAUGACAUGCGAAUUCCUGAAGCAUUACAUAUUUUU
ensembl:snRNA U6 U6 spliceosomal RNA